GGAAGAGGUGGAGCCGCGGUCAGUCGGGCAGCCCGGGGGCGGCUGGGACGGGGCCCCGCUGGAAGGCGCGCUCCCAGGCCCCCUUCUGACCACUGCCCUCCGACGCUCUUUGAAUGUGGGAGGUCUGUUCUCCCACAUUCUCACCCUCCGCCCCUCCCGGAACCUGGAGGAAGCACCCUCCAACCCCUCUCCCCAGCCCAGGAAAAACGAGGCCUCUCCCUUCAUCCAUCCAAGCCUCAGGACACGCAGGCUUCCCACCUUGUCCCCACUCCUCCAGCCCCUCCUCGCCCGGCAGCAGGGCCUAGGCACCCUGAGAUCAGGCAAAACGUGAGUCACCGAGGUCCGGCCCAGGCCCAGGCCCUGGGGGGUGGGCCCUGCUGGAAAGGGAACCGCGUGGAGCCGCUUAGUCACUCUCCAGCCUGAUGCAAUCCACUCUCCAGGCCUGGGGGCAGCGGAUGAAAUCCUGCCUCUCGGAUCAGAGGAGCCAGGGGGCCGGCGGCUCAUCUUACUGUUACUUGGAAAUUGCAGGGAAGACGCUGCCUUCCAGGGCACCCGGGCUCAGGUUCUUUCCUGCCCCCAGGGCCCUUGCCAGGAAGCUGUGAGGUCUGAGUCUCCCGGAGACUGAAACGGGACUGAAGGAAUGAAAGAGCCGUGAAAGCCAGUAGCCUCGCCUCGGUCUGACACAGCCCACCGCCCUGGUGGCCCUGGUGCAUCUGAAGCCCUGGGAGGUUUCUGGUGAAGAACUUAGUGGCUCUUGUCCGGGCCUUAUCUGAUCCAGUCACCCUCGUCCAACGUUCCAAAUCUCUGCGGACUGACACUUGGGCAGAGCUCCCUGCAUCCGUCUUCUCUGAACACUCCCGUCAACUCCCUGCGCUAACCUGGCUGCCCCCCAGACACCCCCCUUCCCUCUCAGCCGCACUCCUGGGUGCCUGGAGGUGGCAGGUCUUCCUCACCCUUUGUGGCUGCGUCCUCACAACUGUCCCUCCGACGCCCGCGAACCCCUGCUCCUUUGGCCCCCCGCGUUCUCCCCAGCUGUCUGCCACGCGCCCCCUCCUUGCUGCAGCCCCGUGGCCAUUCGCCCUCCUUCCCGGGAGAUUCAAACAUCUGGCUCCCUGUCUGUCUCUGAAGGCAGGGCCUGUCCAGCAGAGAUGAUGCGCCAUACGAAUGGGUUGGAUGCUGUCAGUUUCCAGCCCCCGCCUCCAUCACACCCCGGGAAGAAGGAACCCCGCAGACAGGUGGGCUUCAAAAACACCCACUGGGAGCCACGGAGGGCCGGAAGGCCAGCAGAGGACUGGCGAUCUGAUUAAGGAGCUGCUGUCCAACGUCCAAGCGUAAUAAUGGCGUAAUUUUGAAAAUGAUCGUCUUUAUCUUUCAGAGAAAUUUAAUGAAAGGUUCAUGGCUGGAAUAUGAUGCCUGAGACUUGUUUCCCAAUAACCAGCGGGGACCGGGAGGCACAGGAGGAAGGACAGGCUGAACACCGCUGGCCGUGUGGUGAUAACGGGGCGGGGACAGUGUCUGGGAGCCGGAUGUUACUCUCUAUGCUGUGAACAUGUUUGACGAAGUUCGUAAUAAAAGAGUAACCAAAACGUC